rnacentral:rRNA from 1 species
UACAGAGGUGGCAAGCGUUGUCCGGAAUUACUGGGCGUAAGCGUGCGCAGGCGGCUUGCAAGACAGAUGUGAAAUCCCCGGGCUCAACCCUGGGAACUGCAUUUGUGACUGCAUGGCUCGAGUGCGGCAGAGGGGGAUGGAAUUCCGCGUGAUAGCAGUGAAAUGCGUAGAUAUGCGGAGGAACACCGAUGGCCGAAGGCAAUCCCCUGGGCCUGCACUGACGCUCGAUGCACGAAAGCGUGGGGAGCAAACAGG